rnacentral:rRNA from 1 species
ACUGAGCAGCGACGCCGCGUGAGGGAUGACGGCCUUCGGGUUGUAAACCUCUUUCAGCAGGGACGAAGCGAAAGUGACGGUACCUGCAGAAGAAGCACCGGCUAACUACGUGCCAGCAGCCGCGGUAAUACGUAGGGUGCGGGCGUUGCCCGGAAUUAUUGGGCGUAAAGAGCUCGUAGGCGGUUUGUCGCGUCGGCCGUGAAAACUUGGGGCUUAACCCCGAGC